rnacentral:rRNA from 1 species
GAUGAACGCUGGCGGCGUGCCUAAUACAUGCAAGUCGAGCGAACAGACGAGGAGCUUGCUCCUCUGACGUUAGCGGCGGACGGGUGAGUAACACGUGGAUAACCUACCUAUAAGACUGGGAUAACUUCGGGAAACCGGAGCUAAUACCGGAUAAUAUAUUGAACCGCAUGGUUCAAUAGUGAAAGACGGUUUUGCUGUCACUUAUAGAUGGAUCCGCGCCGCAUUAGCUAGUUGGUAAGGUAACGGCUUACCAAGGCAACGAUGCGUAGCCGACCUGAGAGGGUGAUCGGCCACACUGGAACUGAGGCACGGUCCAGACUCCUACGGGGGGCAGCAGUAGGGAAUCUUCCGCAAUGGGCGAAAGCCUGACGGAGCAACGCCGCGUGAGUGAUGAAGGUCUUCGGAUCGUAAAACUCUGUUAUUAGGGAAGAACAAAUGUGUAAGUAACUAUGCACGUCUUGACGGUACCUAAUCAGAAAGCCACGGCUAACUACGUG